GGCAUCGGGAUUGAAGCUUGCUUCAAUUGCCGGCGACCGGCGCACGGGUGCGUAACGCGUAUGUAACCUACCUAUAACAGGGGCAUAACACUGAGAAAUUGGUACUAAUUCCCCAUAAUAUUCGGAGAGGCAUCUCUCCGGGUUGAAAACUCCGGUGGUUAUAGAUGGACAUGCGUUGUAUUAGCUAGUUGGUGAGGUAACGGCUCACCAAGGCAACGAUACAUAGGGGGACUGAGAGGUUAACCCCCCACACUGGUACUGAGACACGGACCAGACUCCUACGGGAGGCAGCAGUGAGGAAUAUUGGUCAAUGGACGCAAGUCUGAACCAGCCAUGCCGCGUGCAGGAAGACGGCUCUAUGAGUUGUAAACUGCUUUUGUACGAGGGUAAACUCACCUACGUGUAGGUGACUGAAAGUAUCGUACGAAUAAGGAUCGGCUAACUCCGUGCCAGCAGCCGCGGUAAUACGGAGGAUUCAAGCGUUAUCCGGAUUUAUUGGGUUUAAAGGGUGCGUAGGCGGUUUGAUAAGUUAGAGGUGAAAUCCCGGGGCUUAACUCCGGAACUGCCUCUAAUACUGUUAGACUAGAGAGUAGUUGCGGUAGGCGGAAUGUAUGGUGUAGCGGUGAAAUGCUUAGAGAUCAUACAGAA
rnacentral:rRNA from 1 species